ACUCCGGGAAACCGGGGCUAAUACCGGAUGGUUGUUUGAACCGCAUGGUUCAGACAUAAAAGGUGGCUUCGGCUACCACUUACAGAUGGACCCGCGGCGCAUUAGCUAGUUGGUGAGGUAACGGCUCACCAAGGCAACGAUGCGUAGCCGACCUGAGAGGGUGAUCGGCCACACUGGGACUGAGACACGGCCCAGACUCCUACGGGAGGCAGCAGUAGGGAAUCUUCCGCAAUGGACGAAAGUCUGACGGAGCAACGCCGCGUGAGUGAUGAAGGUUUUCGGAUCGUAAAGCUCUGUUGUUAGGGAAGAACAAGUGCCGUUCAAAUAGGGCGGCACCUUGACGGUACCUAACCAGAAAGCCACGGCU
rnacentral:rRNA from 1 species